rnacentral:lncRNA from 1 species
UUUAAAGUCAACUUGAUCCAACGGAUUUUUUAACGUUUUGUUAGAAAAUAAAAGUGGAGUUAAUUGACUGUAAGAAAAAAAAUUAUAGUUAGUCAUUUGCAAGUUGACGUAGAGUGAUGGAAAAAGCAUUUAUUCCCUUUUUCUUUCUUUUGCCUUAUAGUCCUUGUAUAAGAGGAAUAAGUAUGUGAUAGGUCUGAAUCAAAGCUUCAAAAUGAUAAAUGAUGUGUUCUCUUCG